rnacentral:rRNA from 1 species
UACGGGGGGGGCAAGCGUUGUUCGGAAUUACUGGGCGUAAAGGGCUCGUAGGUGGCCAACUAAGUCAGACGUGAAAUCCCUCGGCUUAACCGGGGAACUGCGUCUGAUACUGGAUGGCUUGAGUUCGGGAGAGGGAUGCGGAAUUCCAGGUGUAGCGGUGAAAUGCGUAGAUAUCGGGAGGAACACCUGUGGCGAAAGCGGCGCACUGGACCACAACUGACGCUGAGGCGCGAAAGCGUGGGGAGCAAACAGG